rnacentral:rRNA from 1 species
GACAAGCGUGGUCAAGGUAAGAUAUAGCGGUAUAAAAGAGGGUUAGGGGUAGAAAAAUUGUAGUAAAUAAAGAGAUAAAUGCUUACUGUUGGGGUGUAAUCUUUGCAGAUGUUUUAAAUCCGUAGCUAUUUAGUUCUUUAGUCCCUGAAACUUAGGUAAAAGACCGGGAUUAGAUACCCCGUUAUUCUAAGCGUAAAAAUUUAGUUUUCACUGUACCGGAGUACUACGGGCUUAGGUUUGAUAUGUGACCUAAUGAAGUAGGUUUGUUUACUAUUGUAGAUGGGCUUGAUUUAGUGUUGUGUAUUGGGCUGUAAUGCCUAAAACUUAAAAAACUUGGCGGUGCCUCAAAUCUUUCUAGGGGAACCUGUCCCGUAAUCGAUGAUCCGCGUGUUACCUUACUUUGUUUUGAAAAAUUAUUGCAGCCUGUAUACCGUCGUCGUCAGGCUACUCUUAAGGGUUAUUUGGUUUAGUAGGCUAAUGGAAAAUUAUGAGAAAAAUAAUAGUUCUGGAAGUCAGAUCAAGGUGCAGCUAAUGGCAAAGUGGAGAUGUGUUACAGUGGUAAUUUACCGUACGGAUAGUUUUUUUAAAAGAAAUCUUGAAGUUGGACUUAGGAGUAAUUUUUAGGGGUAGUGAGCUAAGGUGAAUGAAGCUCUGAGGUGUGU